rnacentral:rRNA from 1 species
AACGAACGCUGGCGGCAUGCCUAACACAUGCAAGUCGAACGAAGCCUUCGGGCUUAGUGGCGCACGGGUGCGUAACACGUGGGAAUCUGCCCUUCGGUUCGGAAUAACAGUUAGAAAUGACUGCUAAUACCGGAUGAUGACGAAAGUCCAAAGAUUUAUCGCCGAAGGAUGAGCCCGCGUAGGAUUAGGUAGUUGGUAGGGUAAUGGCCUACCAAGCCGACGAUCCUUAGCUGGUCUGAGAGGAUGAUCAGCCACACUGGGACUGAGACACGGCCCAGACUCCUACGGGAGGCAGCAGUGGGGAAUAUUGGACAAUGGGCGAAAGCCUGAUCCAGCAAUGCCGCGUGAGUGAUGAAGGCCUUAGGUUGUAAAGCUCUUUACCGAGGGAUGAUAAUGACAGUACCUGGAGAAUAAGCUCCGGACUAACUCCGUGCCAGCAGCCGACGGUAAAAGUGUGUGUA